rnacentral:lncRNA from 1 species
GAAUAUAAGGUAACUCAUGACACGGCCAAGUCUCAGACAUUAACGAACAGGGGAAUCAAAUAAUAGCCAUGCCACGAUGCUAAAUUUAAAAGGGUGAACUAUAUAACACCUUUCAAUAAGUAUCAGAUUAAAUACAGAUUUAAAACAAACCAAAAUGUCUACAAGAGGCGAUAUGUAGCUACUUUAAAUUUGGAGGAAGUCAUGAGAAGACAUCAGAUCAAGACUGCCUCCAAUCGUGAUGAGAAGCUUACAUAAUAUAGGCACCAUGCAAAGGGUUGCUCUGCUGUUUGCUUAUUAAAACCAAGCAAGCACCCGUGUCUGACUUAAUGCCAAUCCAAACAAUUAAUAUUCCCAACAAACAAAAAAACUCUAACAAGAUUGUAAUAUAAUUAAUACCCAACCAACCAAAACUCAAUAAGAUUGUAUUAUAAUUGUAUCCAAGAGUAUUGAAUCAUGAAAACAUUGUGAUAUUAGUUUUCAUGGGUCUUCCUCUGGCAAUUUGAUUUAGGCUCCAAGCGGCAGUCAGGUCGCCAUUAAAGCGACGCCUGCUGUUGACUCGUUUAAAAAUGGAGCCCUCUUUCUUUCACACCAUACGGAUAAAACAUUAGACAAACUAACUGAUCUGAGAAAGCAAAACCAAACAAGAAAACAUAACUGAAGU